UUUCCGUAGGUGAACCUGCGGAAGGAUCAUUACUGAGUGAGGGCCCCUCGGGGUCCGACCUCCCACCCGUGUUUAACGAACCUUGUUGCUUCGGCGGGCCCGCCUCACGGCGGCCGGGGGGCAUCUGCCCACGGGCCCGCGCCGGCCGAAGCCACCUGUCAACGCUGUCUAAAGUAGGCAGUCUGAGACAAUUAUUGAAUUAAUUAAAACUUUCAACAACGGAUCUCUUGGUUCCG
rnacentral:misc_RNA from 1 species